AUAUUCUGUCGUCUAAGUUUUCGAAUCCAACAACAGUUUUUUCUUGGCUCUUGUGCAAAAGCAUUUCAGACAAUGGUUGAUUUUUUUGAUGUUGUUUGAAUGAGUCAAUUCAGACAACAGUUAUUACGUGAUGUUGUCCAAGGUUCAUUUAUACAAUGGUUGAUAAAAGAUGUUGUCUGAUUGUUUUUAAUCAGAUAACAGUUAUUAUUUCUCUGUUGUGCAAUUACCAUUAAUACAAUGGUUGAAAAAUAUGUCGUCUGAUUGUUUUGAUUCACACAACAGUUUUUCAGUUGUCUAUUGUGCAACUCUCUUUCAGACAAUAUACUGAAAUUGCUGUUGUCUGAGUUUUAGGGUUCAAUAGAUGCUUAUUGGCGCCCUUCUUAAUUGACUUGGCCAAAUUUUCAAUUUUUCAUUUCCCACCAUUAGGCCAAAACCCGAGCUCGCGCUUCUCUCUCUCAAAAUCACUCUUCAUCUCCCCGAUCUCACCAGUUAUUACCUCUCAUCUCUCUCGUUCUCUUAUCUUAUCCUAAACAAGAUUAGAUCAGAGAGUCGGGUGUUCGAGAGGGCGGCCAUACAAGGAAGGGCGAGCCCAUCACAGUAAACCUUUCUCAGAUCCAAUCUCUCUGCGCCGAUAUGGACGGCCUCUGGCUCUCCCAACGCCGCCACCACCACUCGGACAAAUAUGACGACAGCCGCCGUGCCCAGCCCUAUAAUCUGUCCCUCAAAAAGGCCCAGCCCCCUCAGCCAGGCAAGAAGCAGUUCAUCAUCGAACCCUUCAAAGGUUUGGCCUCAAUCCCAAAGCUCGCAUCUGUCACGCCGAGAAGUGUAUCAGGGUCGUCACAAAGCCCCUAGAUCGCCUCCAUUGCAGCCGCAGGUCAUUCUUGUCACUUUUAUCUUUCUGCGAGAUGGUCAUAGCUAGUAUCUAACACAGUUGCUGCAACAUGAAAAGUGCAGUAAACUAACUCAAAUUGCUUAGAAGUCCUUGGAGGAGGGGAGUUUUUAUCAUGGCAUUGAGGCAUAUCUUCUCACGUGUAUCCGCUAAGACCAAGCCGGCUUCUAUCCAUGUUUGCAAAGAAAGCCAACCAUGGUCGCCGAAGCACCACCGUCGAAGCUCCAAUCCCAGAUCGAUUUCUCGAUCGAUUGGGUUAUGUUCUCAAUCGUCUCCUCCUAAUAGAAGCUGAACUCAUUGAUGGCGAGGUCGUUGGUUUUAGGACCCUGGCGUUUUUGAUCUGUAUGAGGUAAAGGCUGUAAUUCAUCUUCUCGAUCUUCAUAUGCAGGCCAUCUAUCAUUUGAUUUGCUUUUUUGAAGAUGGUAUUAGGCAAAUAGGUGUGUCGAUGUUCAUAAACCAUGUCUUGUUCAAGAAACACAAAGAAACCCCAUGCGUUUUGCCAGAGGGGAAACCAAGUAAGAACUUGUAUAAUUAAGUUGCAUCCAUAUGCCCAACUGUAAUAUAUUAGAGAGAAAAUCAUGUAUGGGAUUGAGUCAUUUUACAAUAAGCACAUAUGGGUAUUUCUUCCUUAUGUAUCAAAAGAAAUUUUGUAUAACUAAAGGAGAUUUUGUCCUGUUUUUUUAUUUGCAGAUUUUGUAAAAUUGAAAGAACUGUUCUUUUUAGUGAUAUUAUCCGAGCAUGGCAUCCCAGGAAACCUAUCUUUUUUUACUUUUGAGCUAUAUUUUACAAUGUUUAAUUAUGUCUUGA